GGACUACAGGGGUAUCUAAUCCUGUUCGCUCCCCACGCUUUCGCUCCUCAGCGUCAGUAUCGGCCCAGAGACCCGCCUUCGCCACCGGUGUUCCUCCUGAUAUCUGCGCAUUUCACCGCUACACCAGGAAUUCCAGUCUCCCCUACCGAACUCAAGUCUGCCCGUAUCCACCGCAAGCCCACAGUUAAGCCGCAGGUUUUCACGAUAGACGCAACAAACCGCCUACGAGCUCUUUACGCCCAAUAAUUCCGGACAACGCUCGCACCCUACGUAUUACCGCGGCUGCUGGCAC
rnacentral:rRNA from 1 species